rnacentral:rRNA from 1 species
UACGUAGGGUGCAGGCGUUAAUCGGAAUUACUGGGCGUAAAGCGUGCGCAGGCGGUUUGCUAAGACAGGUGUGAAAUCCCCGGGCUUAACCUGGGAACUGCGCUUGUUACUGGCAAGCUUGAGUGUGGCAGGGGGGGGUGGAAUUCCACGUGUAGCAGUGAAAUGCGUAGAGAUGUGGAGGAACACCGAUGGCGAAGGCAGCCCCCUGGGCUAACACUGACGCUCAUGCACGAAAGCGUGGGGAGCAAACAGG